rnacentral:rRNA from 1 species
UGGGGAAUUUUGGACAAUGGGGGAAACCCUGAUCCAGCCAUCCCGCGUGUGCGAUGAAGGCCUUCGGGUUGUAAAGCACUUUUGGCAGGAAAGAAACGUCGCGGGUUAAUACCCCGCGAAACUGACGGUACCUGCAGAAUAAGCACCGGCUAACUACGUGCCAGCAGCCGCGGUAAUACGUAGGGUGCAAGCGUUAAUCGGAAUUACUGGGCGUAAAGCGUGCGCAGGCGGUUCGGAAAGAAAGAUGUGAAAUCCCAGAGCUUAACUUUGGAACUGCAUUUUUAACUACCGGGCUAGAGUGUGUCAGAGGGAGGUGGAAUUCCGCGUGUAGCAGUGAAAUGCGUAGAUAUGCGGAGGAACACCGAUGGCGAAGGCAGCCUCCUGGGAUAACACUGACGCUCAUGCACGAAAGCGUGGGGAGCAAACAGGAUUAGAUACCCUGGUAGUCCACGCCCUAAANGAUGUCAACUAGCCUGUUGGGGCCUUCGGGCCUUGGUAGCGCAGCUAACGCGUGAAGUUGACCGCCUGGGGAGUAC